GACCUAGUGGCUGCUUUCUGAGGACUAGAGAUAUCAUUGUAUUUUCUCUCUCAUAGAUGUAAAAUUACACAUAUAUUGUGCUAUCUUGUGUGCUCUCCCUGUUAACACUCUUUAAUGUAAAUCUCGUAAAUUGCAUUUCUUGAUUAUUUCUGGGUCUUGCUUUUUUUCUUUCUUUAGUAAUUGUGGAGAACCCUUUUGUAAUUCACACAUACUGAUAACUCUUCCAAAUAAUUCUGAGGCUUCUGUUAUUACCGUUGCACUGCACCAAUAAAGUGUUAAAAGCACUACGGUCUGAGAUGGCUAUCCCCUAUCUUCUUGUUGUAGUUGUUUGUUUAUGAUUAAGGAGCCUAUGAAACUGCUUAUUUGUUGAGAAAUUAGUAGGAAAAUUGCCAUCAUGGUUAAUGCAUUUUCUCUGAAAAUGUUUCUUGAAGUUUCCCUGCUUUAGAAUCAACAGGUUUUUAACCUGGCUUUAUCCUUUGGGUUUAGGAAAUCUGACCACCUGUUGGUGUGGAGAUUAUAGGUUACAGAUAGGGGCUUGCCCCUUACCAAACUUUCCUCAUAUGGACAUGGUAUGAAAGCUAUCUUCUUGUUUUGAAGACACCUGGUGCUUAACUGAAUAUCAAUGAGGCUGAACUGUCAUGUCUUUGUCUUUGUUCAUUUUAAGUGCUACAGGAAGUAAUAAUUGUAUUUGCAUGCCCUUAUUUGGAUUUUGACGAGUUUCAUGGAUUUAAUUCUGAUUAAGCUUGCUACAUGAAUGAACUCAUACAGGAAGAGCUGGGGGAGCUUGAGAAUACACAUAAUGUCUCAACAGUGUGUGAAGAAUUGCUGCUGAAUGUCAAUGUCAUACCUGAUCCAUUACUCUCAGAGUAACUUCUGUAACACCUAUGUGUUUUCUUGCUGUUUUAACAUGAAAUUUCUUUAUCUAUGAUGCUCAAUCUUCUUUUUCUUUGACCCCCCAAUACAGAACAAGUGGCUGUGUGAACCCAUUAUGGGAUCGAUGGUUUGAAGGGCCCCAGGAAUCUCAAGAUUGCCGAUGCUGGAUACUCUGAUUGGAAGCAAUCUAACAUUAUUAUGAUUUAUCAGCUGGAGGCUUCAACAUAUGUUUCAUAACAAACUUGUGAACAUGUUACAAGACAAAUGUUGCUCUCAGCGAAUGGUCAAUUAAUUUUUCUACUGCAUGAAAUGAAAGGUUUUUAGGUAACUCAUGUUGAUGUAAAAUCAUUUGUUGGUCUGUUCAGAUUAAAUUUGUAAAUCAAGUUUGUAACCACUACUGAGAAUUACUACAUGUAUUUUUCUUCUCACAACUUGAAAGAAUAAGAAGAAGAAGAAGAAGCACGAAAGGUGAUAAGAAUUAAGAGGAGGCUAAGCAACGCUAAGCAAGAGAGGAGUGAGAUGUUGAAGAUGGAGAUGACGGGGCAU
rnacentral:misc_RNA from 1 species